rnacentral:rRNA from 1 species
GAUGAACGCUGGCGGCGUGCCUAAUACAUGCAAGUCGAGCGAACAGACCAGUAGCUUCCUCCUCUGACUUUAUCGUCGGACGGGUUAUUCACUCCUCUAUAACCUACCUCUAAGACUCUGAUAACUUUGCGAAACCCGAGCUAUUACCGGAUAAUAUAUUGAACCACAUUGUUCACUCGUUAAAUACGGUUUUUCUUUCACUUAUAGCUUGCUCCGCGCCGCAUUCGCAAGUUGGUAAGGUAGCGGCUUACCAAGGCAACGAUGCGUAGCCGACCUGAGAGGGUGAACGGCCAGACGGGAACUGAGAAACGGUACAGACUCCGACGGGAGGAAGCAGUAGGGAAUCUUACGCAAUGGGCGAAAGCGUGACGGAGCAAAGCCGCGUGAGUGAUGAAGGUCUUCGGAUCGUAAAACGCUGUUAGUAGGGAAGAAGAAAUGUGUAAGUAACUAGGAACGUAUUGACGGUACCAAAACAGAAAGCCACGGCUAACUACGUG